GCUUGUCUCAAAGAUUAAGCCAUGCAUGUCUUAGUGUAAAUAACUCUUAUGAAACUGCGAAUGGCUCAUUAAAUCAGUUAUCAAAUACGUGAUGGUCGCCUACUACAUGGAUAACCGUAGUAAUUCUAGAGCUAAUACAUGCGCAAAUACCCAACUGCUUGUCGGACGGGUAGCAUUUAUUAGAUUGAAACCAAUGCAGUCUUCGGGCUGGUAUUGUGUUGAGUCAUAAUAACUGUGCGGAUCGCGUUUUACGCGAUAAAUCGAUUGAGUUUCUGCCCUAUCAGCUUUGGAUGGUAGGGUAUUGGCCUACCAUGGCUUUAACGGGUAACGGAGAAUUAGGGUUCGAUUCCGGAGAGGGAGCCUGAGAAAUGGCUACCACAUCCAAGGAAGGCAGCAGG
rnacentral:rRNA from 1 species